UAACCCUGCUUGUGAAAGUAGGCUGAGCGUACAGAAGUCAGCAGAAGCUAUAGUGCGCUCUGUGUUGCAACACGCAGAGGAAGGGC
rnacentral:ncRNA from 1 species